AGGAAAGGAACUGGGCUUUCAAUUAUAUGGGGUUCUAUAUGCUGUGAAGACCACUUCACCUGGCACAGGAUGAAUUGUUUAAGUGCAGAUGUUGACGGAAGUGCAUAUAUUUUAAAUCGCAAUGGCCGUAAACGCAAACAUACGCAACUUAGUGACUUCAUUUUUUGAUGGCUGAAGCACUUUGUCCUGAGUUUUGAAGAACUUCUUAAAAUUGUUCUUGAAAUGUGAUCAGUGGAUAAUGGGGUGAAUAUUCUUCUCGAUUCCUCAUUCUUCUUGGAGACUUGACUGAUAAAGAUUUUAAAUAAGGCGCUGUUAAAGGUAUGGGCUUCUUCCCUACAAAAGUCAGAAGUAUAGAUCUUAUUCAGGAUGACGAAGAUUGUUCCAUACCUCACAAUCAAAUUAUAAUGCUUCUGUAUAUCUACUCUUAAAUUAUUUAUAAAGUAUGGGAAACAUACUAAAGUAAAAUUAAAACAUACACUCUAUUAGUUCCAACUUGAAA